rnacentral:lncRNA from 1 species
CUUCUUAAAUAACUCUUGCUUCUCUGCUUCCAAUUUAGGCAUCAAUAGCUUGAUAUAGUGCUUCAUAUAUGUCACAAACUGCUUCUUGUUGAAAGAAGUUUGUCCCUGUCAAUAACAUGGCAUAGCCAACAAAUCUCCGUUAACACAAAUUCAUAUGCACUUUUGAGAUAAGAACACUAAUAAGCAAUAGAUUGGAUGCUUAACCUGAAGCCUGAAUGUGUCGACAAUAUCGAUGACCUUCACUACAGAAUCAUCGACACUUUCAUCUUCUUCCCCACCUUCAUCCGAAGGGUUAGCACCAAUGUCUACAUCUAUA